rnacentral:rRNA from 1 species
GACGAACGCUGGCGGCGUGCCUAACACAUGCAAGUCGAACGGAGACAAAAUUGUAGUAAUAUGAUUUUGUUUUAGUGGCGGACGGGUGAGUAACGCGUGAGCAAUCUGCCUUUCAGAGGGGGAUAACGUACCGAAAGGUACGCUAAUACCGCAUGACAUACCGAGGGGACAUCUCCAUGGUAUCAAAGAUUUAUCGCUGAAAGAUGAGCUCGCGUCUGAUUAGAUAGUUGGCGGGGUAACGGCCCACCAAGUCGACGAUCAGUAGCCGGACUGAGAGGUUGAACGGCCACAUUGGGACUGAGACACGGCCCAGACUCCUACGGGAGGCAGCAGUGGGGAAUAUUGCGCAAUGGGGGAAACCCUGACGCAGCAACGCCGCGUGAAGGAUGAAGGUCUUCGGAUUGUAAACUUCUUUGACGAGGGACGAAUAAUGACGGUACCUCGAAAACAAGCCACGGCUAACUACGUG